UGUGAAUGCAGAAUUCAGUGAAUCAUCGAAUCUUUGAACGCACAUUGCGCCCCUUGGUAUCCCGAGGGGCAUGCCUGUUCGAGCGUCAUU
rnacentral:rRNA from 1 species